CCUACGGGGGACAGCAGUGAGGAAUAUUGGUCAAUGGGCGCGAGCCUGAACCAGCCAAGUAGCGUGAAGGAUGACUGCCCUACGGGUUGUAAACUUCUUUUAUAAGGGAAUAAAGUGAGGCACGUGUGCCUUUUUGUAUGUACUUUAUGAAUAAGGAUCGGCUAACUCCGUGCCAGCAGCCGCGGUAAUACGGAGGAUCCGAGCGUUAUCCGGAUUUAUUGGGUUGAAAGGGAGAGGAGAGGGGUUGUUAAGUCAGGUGUGAAAGUGUGCGGCUCAACCGUAAAAUUGCAAUUGAUACUGGCAGCCUUGAGUACAGUUGAGGUAGGCGGAAUUCGUGGUGUAGCGGUGAAAUGCUUAGAUAUAACGAAGAACUCCGAUUGCGAAGGCAGCUUACUAAGCUGCUACUGACAUUGAUGCUCGAAAGUGUGGGUAUCAAACAGGAUUAGAUACCCUAGUAGUC
rnacentral:rRNA from 1 species